CCUUUUGUAUAAUGGGUCAGCGACUUAUAUUCUGUAGCAAGGUUAACCGAAUAGGGGAGCCGAAGGGAAACCGAGUCUUAACUGGGCGUUAAGUUGCAGGGUAUAGACCCGAAACCCGGUGAUCUAGCCAUGGGCAGGUUGAAGGUUGGGUAACACUAACUGGAGGACCGAACCGACUAAUGUUGAAAAAUUAGCGGAUGACUUGUGGCUGGGGGUGAAAGGCCAAUCAAACCGGGAGAUAGCUGGUUCUCCCCGAAAGCUAUUUAGGUAGCGCCUCGUGAAUUCAUCUCCGGGGGUAGAGCACUGUUUCGGCAAGGGGGUCAUCCCGACUUACCAACCCGAUGCAAACUGCGAAUACCGGAGAAUGUUAUCACGGGAGACACACGGCGGGUGCUAACGUCCGUCGUGAAGAGGGAAACAACCCAGACCGCCAGCUAAGGUCCCAAAGUCAUGGUUAAGUGGGAAACGAUGUGGGAAGGCCCAGACAGCCAGGAUGUUGGCUUAGAAGCAGCCAUCAUUUAAAGAAAGCGUAAUAGCUCACUGGUCGAGUCGGCCUGCGCGGAAGAUGUAACGGGGCUAAACCAUGCACCGAAGCUGCGGCAGCGACACUAUGUGUUGUUGGGUAGGGGAGCGUUCUGUAAGCCUGUGAAGGUGUGCUGUGAGGCAUGCUGGAGGUAUCAGAAGUGCGAAUGCUGACAUAAGUAACGAUAAAGCGGGUGAAAAGCCCGCUCGCCGGAAGACCAAGGGUUCCUGUCCAACGUUAAUCGGGGCAGGGUGAGUCGACCCCUAAGGCGAGGCCGAAAGGCGUAGUCGAUGGGAAACAGGUUAAUAUUCCUGUACUUGGUGUUACUGCGAAGGGGGGACGGAGAAGGCUAUGUUGGCCGGGCGACGGUUGUCCCGGUUUAAGCGUGUAGGCUGGUUUUCCAGG
rnacentral:rRNA from 1 species